CAAGAAUUUUUUUUUCUUUUUUUCUUCUUUUUUUUUUUCUUUUUUUUUUCUCUCUUUUGUUUUUCCUCGUCUUCUUCGUCGAAAGUCUUCUCAACUCUCCGGUUCUGGUUAACGUCGUGCAAGAAUACGUGAGUGAUUCCAGGCUUCUUCCUGUUCCUAGCCAUAACCGCCGCCGAGUAAAUCGCCGCCAUUCUUCCCGGAGCUUCGGCGGCGAAGUAACCGCUGAAGGAGAUCGACUGAUCGAGAUCUCGUGGAUGUUUCUGUUGAUUGGCUCCACUAUAAUCUUAGAGAGGCUGAUAUAAAGGUGUUGGAUGCCUCAUGGUACAUGCCACAUGAGCAAAGAAAUACAAUCCAAGAGUAUCAGGUGAGGACUAUGUACAUUUUGUAGAUAAUUAGAUAAAUAAACUUUUGAUCUGGAUGAGCGCUAUGAAACUUUUAUUUCUAACUUGUUGACCAUCACCAUUAUGAUUUAUGUCCGAGUGAAAUCUUAUAAGAAAUGUUGUGAACUUAAAUUGAUUGUUAGUGUCUUUUUCUCUUUAGAACUUUCCCAUUUUGUAUUGCUUCUGGUUUUGAGCUUCUAUGUGUCUUAUGAAUGCACAACCAUGAACCAACCCCCAAUACUUUUUUGUAAAUUAUUUGAAUCACAUGUGACAAUUACCACACAUGCUACCGUCUGAGGAAGCUUUUGCUGCUGCUUGUUCUGCUCUUGGAAUCGAGAACAAAGAUGGAGUGGUUGUGUAUGAUGGAAAGGGCAUCUUUAGCGCAGCUCGUGUUUGGUGGAUGUUUAGAGUCUUUGGGCAUGAAAGUGUUUGGGUUCUUGAUGGAGGCUUACCGAAAUGGCGUGCUUCAGGCUAUGAGGUUGAAUCUAGUGCUUAUGCCAUUUUGAAAUCCAAUGCUGCAAGUGAGGCUGCAGAGAAAGUUUAUCAAGGACAACCAGUAAGUUUGUUUAUUCAUAUUUUCAUGUUCUGUUUUAGUGGUUUAGGUUUGUGUUGUUGUUGUUCUUUGUCAUGUUUUAGUUGUUUAAGAAGAAUGUUCUGUAAUGGAAUUAAUGGAGUUAAUGUAGUUCUUGUUAUGUUUAAAA